AUGAAGCUGGAAUUGCUAGUAAUGGCAGGUCAGCAUACUGCCGUGAAUACGUUCCCGGGCCUUGUACACACCGCCCGUCACACCAUGAGAGUUGGGAAUACCCGAAGCCUGUGAGCUAACUUAUAGAGGCAGCAGUCGAAGGUAGAAUCAAUGAUUGGGGUGAAGUCGUAACAAGGUAAC
rnacentral:rRNA from 1 species